rnacentral:rRNA from 1 species
GGGUUGUGAGGUUAAGCGACUAAGCGUACACGGUGGAUGCCCUGGCAGUCAGAGGCGAUGAAGGACGUGCUAAUCUGCGAUAAGCGUCGGUAAGGUGAUAUGAACCGUUAUAACCGGCGAUUUCCGAAUGGGGAAACCCAGUGUGUUUCGACACACUAUCAUUAACUGAAUCCAUAGGUUAAUGAGGCGAACCGGGGGAACUGAAACAUCUAAGUACCCCGAGGAAAAGAAAUCAACCGAGAUUCCCCCAGUAGCGGCGAGCGAACGGGGAGCAGCCCAGAGCCUGAAUCAGUGUGUGUGUUAGUGGAAGCGUCUGGAAAGGCGCGCGAUACAGGGUGACAGCCCCGUACACAAAAAUGCACAUGCUGUGAGCUCGAUGAGUAGGGCGGGACACGUGGUAUCCUGUCUGAAUAUGGGGGGACCAUCCUCCAAGGCUAAAUACUCCUGACUGACCGAUAGUGAACCAGUACCGUGAGGGAAAGGCGAAAAGAACCCCGGCGAGGGGAGUGAAAAAGAACCUGAAACCGUGUACGUACAAGCAGUGGGAGCACGCUUAGGCGUGUGACUGCGUACCUUUUGUAUAAUGGGUCAGCGACUUAUAUUCUGUAGCAAGGUUAACCGAAUAGGGGAGCCGAAGGGAAACCGAGUCUUAACUGGGCGUUAAGUUGCAGGGUAUAGACCCGAAACCCGGUGAUCUAGCCAUGGGCAGGUUGAAGGUUGGGUAACACUAACUGGAGGACCGAACCGACUAAUGUUGAAAAAUUAGCGGAUGACUUGUGGCUGGGGGUGAAAGGCCAAUCAAACCGGGAGAUAGCUGGUUCUCCCCGAAAGCUAUUUAGGUAGCGCCUCGUGAAUUCAUCUCCGGGGGUAGAGCACUGUUUCGGCAAGGGGGUCAUCCCGACUUACCAACCCGAUGCAAACUGCGAAUACCGGAGAAUGUUAUCACGGGAGACACACGGCGGGUGCUAACGUCCGUCGUGAAGAGGGAAACAACCCAGACCGCCAGCUAAGGUCCCAAAGUCAUGGUUAAGUGGGAAACGAUGUGGGAAGGCCCAGACAGCCAGGAUGUUGGCUUAGAAGCAGCCAUCAUUUAAAGAAAGCGUAAUAGCUCACUGGUCGAGUCGGCCUGCGCGGAAGAUGUAACGGGGCUAAACCAUGCACCGAAGCUGCGGCAGCGACGCUGAUGCGUUGUUGGGUAGGGGAGCGUUCUGUAAGCCUGCGAAGGUGUGCUGUGAGGCAUGCUGGAGGUAUCAGAAGUGCGAAUGCUGACAUAAGUAACGAUAAAGCGGGUGAAAAGCCCGCUCGCCGGAAGACCAAGGGUUCCUGUCCAACGUUAAUCGGGGCAGGGUGAGUCGACCCCUAAGGCGAGGCCGAAAGGCGUAGUCGAUGGGAAACAGGUUAAUAUUCCUGUACUUGGUGUUACUGCGAAGGGGGGACGGAGAAGGCUAUGUUGGCCGGGCGACGGUUGUCCCGGUUUAAGCGUGUAGGCUGGUUUUCCAGGCAAAUCCGGAAAAUCAAGGCUGAGGCGUGAUGACGAGGCACUACGGUGCUGAAGCAACAAAUGCCCUGCUUCCAGGAAAAGCCUCUAAGCAUCAGGUAACAUCAAAUCGUACCCCAAACCGACACAGGUGGUCAGGUAGAGAAUACCAAGGCGCUUGAGAGAACUCGGGUGAAGGAACUAGGCAAAAUGGUGCCGUAACUUCGGGAGAAGGCACGCUGAUAUGUAGGUGAAGUCCCUCGCGGAUGGAGCUGAAAUCAGUCGAAGAUACCAGCUGGCUGCAACUGUUUAUUAAAAACACAGCACUGUGCAAACACGAAAGUGGACGUAUACGGUGUGACGCCUGCCCGGUGCCGGAAGGUUAAUUGAUGGGGUCAGCGCAAGCGAAGCUCUUGAUCGAAGCCCCGGUAAACGGCGGCCGUAACUAUAACGGUCCUAAGGUAGCGAAAUUCCUUGUCGGGUAAGUUCCGACCUGCACGAAUGGCGUAAUGAUGGCCAGGCUGUCUCCACCCGAGACUCAGUGAAAUUGAACUCGCUGUGAAGAUGCAGUGUACCCGCGGCAAGACGGAAAGACCCCGUGAACCUUUACUAUAGCUUGACACUGAACAUUGAGCCUUGAUGUGUAGGAUAGGUGGGAGGCUUUGAAGUGUGGACGCCAGUCUGCAUGGAGCCGACCUUGAAAUACCACCCUUUAAUGUUUGAUGUUCUAACGUUGACCCGUGAUCCGGGUUGCGGACAGUGUCUGGUGGGUAGUUUGACUGGGGCGGUCUCCUCCUAAAGAGUAACGGAGGAGCACGAAGGUUGGCUAAUCCUGGUCGGACAUCAGGAGGUUAGUGCAAUGGCAUAAGCCAGCUUGACUGCGAGCGUGACGGCGCGAGCAGGUGCGAAAGCAGGUCAUAGUGAUCCGGUGGUUCUGAAUGGAAGGGCCAUCGCUCAACGGAUAAAAGGUACUCCGGGGAUAACAGGCUGAUACCGCCCAAGAGUUCAUAUCGACGGCGGUGUUUGGCACCUCGAUGUCGGCUCAUCACAUCCUGGGGCUGAAGUAGGUCCCAAGGGUAUGGCUGUUCGCCAUUUAAAGUGGUACGCGAGCUGGGUUUAGAACGUCGUGAGACAGUUCGGUCCCUAUCUGCCGUGGGCGCUGGAGAACUGAGGGGGGCUGCUCCUAGUACGAGAGGACCGGAGUGGACGCAUCACUGGUGUUCGGGUUGUCAUGCCAAUGGCACUGCCCGGUAGCUAAAUGCGGAAGAGAUAAGUGCUGAAAGCAUCUAAGCACGAAACUUGCCCCGAGAUGAGUUCUCCCUGACUCCUUGAGAGUCCUGAAGGAACGUUGAAGACGACGACGUUGAUAGGCCGGGUGUGUAAGCGCAGCGAUGCGUUGAGCUAACCGGUACUAAUGAACCGUGAGGCUUAACCUUACAACGCCGAAGCUGUU